GAGUAAAGGUACCCUUCUUGGCUGAUCCCUUUCGCUUUGUGGCGUGCUCGGUUGGGUUGGGCGCCGACUAAGAGUGCUCGGAGCGUGGAUUAACUCCAGUCUCCAAUCAGGUAAUUUCCAGCCUUAGACGGAUCGGAGCUGCGAGGGGCUCGGAGAAAGCCACACACACUGUUUAUUUUAUAGUUUUGAUUAUUACUUUUAAAUGUUUUAUGUGGGUUGUAGUAAAGUCGUUGUAAUUUUCUGGAUUUCAAAUUUGAAAUUUUACGUAUUGUUCUUAUAAUUGCUAGUAUUAGAACACGGUUUUCCAAAGCAA